rnacentral:lncRNA from 1 species
CUUUCUUUUGCCUAUUAAACCUCAGCUCUUAAACCCACUCCUUAUGUGUGUCCGUGUCCUUAGUUUUCUUGGCAUGAAGCAGCAAAACUCAGGUAUUACCCAGACAAUGAUGCAGCUUCAACAUUGUAUGAGGCGCUCUGGAAAACGCCAUGAGAGGGCAAACUAAGCCAUCUCUGUUCAAUCUGCACAGUUUUGACAAGGCUUCAUGAAGUGCUUGGGCAAACUGCAUUUUCCAGGAGAUCAAGUUGGGCCAGUUGACUGAGUUAUGACCAGUGAAAUGUGGGCAGUGGAGAUGUACAAUGUUUCCUGUAUCUGGCUGAUAACAAUCUCCAUUCUCUCUUCUUGUUCCAUGGUGACCUUGAAGGCCACACAUUGAAGAUAAACGGAACAAAAUGCAGCUGGAGAAAUUAGAGUAAAGGAUUCCCCGUCCUUCCAUGGGACUUGCCUUCCCCCCACCCCCACCCUCCUCCACAGCGUGUGCUGCUAUCUUCCCGAGCUCCCCCAGAGCCAGGAGAGGCCUUGCGAUGCUGAGGAUUGUCAUUUAGUUCCAUUUCUUUGUUCCUUCGCUUCAUCUUGUGCCCCUGCUGAAGACAAAGAGAAGCCAUUUGUUAGAUUAAAGAUAAGACAUCUUCACAGGCUUAGCAAGGAAUACAUUUUUAAUACAGCCAUUUAAAUGUCUCUCACCCCUCACAUAGGCCCAGAAAUAUCUUAUUUGACUAUCAAAGAGCUUUAGAUGUCUGAACUGUAAUUGCUGGCACAUGGUAUCUUUAAAGAGCAUAUAAAUCACUGUUAAUAAAUGUAUGCCACAUUGACAACGAGCUUUGGCUGAUGGGGACGAUUAACUCAAUUCUUCAAAGUAUUCGUUGAAAACUGUAACCCUGAGUUGAUGUGGCUUCCCUUUUCAGGCCCAUGCUCACACUCUAGUUUCCAGGGAUCAGCAUAUAAAUAAUAACAAUUUUCAUAAUGCUGCUUUGCAAAAGUCAUUGAUGGUUAUGCCACCACUUCAGAUUGUACUUAUUAAAUUAUCUGCCUUAUUCACUACCCAUGAGAGGACACUAAGAAGACACUGUGCCUUGCAAAAACCUAUACUCUUUAUUUUUUUUAGAUUUUUAAAAUUGAGGUAUAAUCUGCCUACAGGAAAACACACAGAUCUUAAGCAUACAUUUCAAUCUGUUUUGAAAAAUGCAUACAUUAAACCCACACCACCAAGAAGAUAUACAUGACAUCACCCUGGAAAGUUCCCUUCCCUACUACCCCACUCCUGCUGGAAUGAACAAAUGAUCUGAUUUCUAUCUCCAUAAAUUAGUUUUUUUCUGCCCUAGGACUCCCUGC